rnacentral:rRNA from 1 species
UACGAAGGGGCUAGCGUUGCUCGGAAUCACUGGGCGUAAAGGGUGCGUAGGCGGGUCUUUAAGUCAGGGUGAAAUCCUGGAGCUCAACUCCAGAACUGCCUUUGAUACUGAGGAUCUUGAGUUCGGAGAGGUGAGUGGAACUGCGAGUGUAGAGGUGAAAUUCGUAGAUAUUCGCAAGAACACCAGUGGCGAAGGCGGCUCACUGGCCCGAUACUGACGCUGAGGCACGAAAGCGUGGGGAGCAAACAGGG